AAAUGGGCCUUUCACCUGUGAAUGGGCCAUCGCCUUUCACCUGUAAAUUGAGGCUGAGCUUUCUAUAGAUUCACAAAAUUCGAAGAUUUUCACCGGACCCCCACCCCCUAGCACUUAGGUGCACCCAGCCCUGGCCACAUCUGAGGCCUCCAGCUCCCUCAUCAAGGACAGAAAGGUGCCUCUCUCCAAGUCUUCCAGCCCAGACACAUCCCGAAUCAGUGCCGCCAGCUGAGAUCAGCGUCCAGCUCCCGGGAGGGGCCACUUCUACGCGUCCCAGCCAUUGCCAGUCCUCAGCUUUGGCUGGCAUCACGCCCUUCUUCAAGAGAGCAUCGUCAAACCUCUUUGGGUCAGGAUGUCAGCUCGCCCUCUGCCUGUCCCUUAUGAGGACGAGGAUGUUUGUGGCAUUUAGAGCCCACCCUGACAAUCCAGGAGAACCUAACCCUCCCAAGGUCCCUAACUCAACCAUACCUGUGGAGUCCUGUUUUCCACUUAUUCUGCCAAAAUUAUUUCCAGUCUAUACGGAUUAAAUACCCAGCUGUUCUGCACACACCGUUGCUUUCAGUUACAUUGAGCACCGCAGCUCACAUUAGCGGAGCCCUUACGCUAGGCGCAGUCUUUAAUGGACUGCGUCAUUUGCCCCUGCCCAAAGAAGCCAGCGAUAUGCUAAUCCCCCUUGCACUGUUAAGGAAACCAGGGGCGCCCAAAGUGAAGUAACUUCGCCCACGGCCUCCAGAUGUGCUGCUGGGAUUCCUGCUUCAUCUCUGGCUGAAGACUCUGCCAUCUGCCACCAUUGAUUGCCUCCCAGUGUAAACCGGGCUUCUCUGUGAAGCUAUUUACAAAGUUUGGUCUCGUUUGAACUUUGAAGCAGAGUCUCUUAUCAGAUCCUACAAAUUGCAGACAUAACACAGGAAGAGCUGCUCUAGAAAGCUGAAAAUCCAAUUACAACAGCCAAGGGAAUGCAGUUCUUUGGGGGCUACAUUUGUGACCUCUGCCUUGAAGCACAGUCCCCGCGGGGAGAAGGGAGGCCCAGGCUCCACCUGGCCCUUGGACAGCACAUCUCGCCGCCUCUUUAUUACUCUUCCCUCUCCGAACUGUUGGGACCUUGGAUGUGAGUCCUGCUCUUGCUGGAUUUAUGGGCUGAACUCCUUGGCUAAGCUGCUUCUUCACUCACAAGGAAACUGCCGUGGAAGAUGUGGACGGGGAGCGUCUUGUAUGCAGGGUUUCCAGAAGCGGAAGGUCAACAGUAGCGAAAUGGAGAGAGGAUGUUACAAACAGUGGGGCUGAGAACAGGCCUCUCCUGCUCCCCAGGCGGCCUGGCCUCGGAGGCUCAGGGACAGGCGAC
rnacentral:lncRNA from 1 species